rnacentral:rRNA from 1 species
UACAGAGGUCUCGAGCGUUAGGCGGAAUCACUGGGCUUAAAGCGUGUGUAGGCGGGUCGUUAAGGACCUUGUGAAAUCCCAUGGCUCAACCAUGGAACUGCUGGGGAUACUGGCGAUCUUGUGCAACCUAGGGGCGAGCGGAACAGAUGGUGGAGCGGUGAAAUGCGUAGAUAUCAUCUGGAACGCCAAUGGUGAAAACAGCUCGCUGGGGGUUUGCAGACGCUGAGACACGAAAGCCAGGGGAGCGAACGGG